AUUAAAAAAGUUUUAUGACUUCAUUUGCUGUCGAGAAGCACCACAAAAGUUUCUAUUGACGAUAGGUGCAAAUUACCAAAUAAACCCCGCUCAUUGUCUUCACACUCAGACACAUAUUAUGGCCAUACCAUUCAUGGCCCCAUGAGAAGUUAAACUUCUUGCCCGGUGUUUGUUAUUCUUGAUUUCCCCUAAAAAACCAGAGGGUGAAAGAGUACAUGAGCGUGGGAGAGGUGGAGAUAAAUAAAACUUUUGUUCACUCUCGAAUGAAUAGCAAGUCAAUUUAGUUUACUGAAGGUAACAUUUCCCCUGUCUCAAGUUAAGGAUGGCCUAGGCUUAGUGAAAUUCUGCGUCAACGUCUGGAAAUAAAGUGAAGAUAUUUCAUUGAAAGUUUUAGGAGGUUUGAAAAAUCAACGACUCCUGAUAGGAAGUGCUGCCAAGAAAUGUUUCCGUGGAGAUGAUAAACAACCGAACUAAAAGUAAUGCUGUCACCACAAAUUUCUGUUUUUUAGAGUUAAUUUUUCUGUUUAAAGAAGAAACAAAUAAACAAUAUUACAACCACAAGUA
rnacentral:sRNA from 1 species